AGAGUUUGAUCCUGGCUCAGGAUGAACGCUGGCGGCGUGCCUAAUACAUGCAAGUCGAGCGAACGGACGAGAAGCUUGCUUCUCUGAUGUUAGCGGCGGACGGGUGAGUAACACGUGGAUAACCUACCUAUAAGACUGGGAUAACUUCGGGAAACCGGAGCUAAUACCGGAUAAUAUUUUGAACCGCAUGGUUCAAAAGUGAAAGACGGUCUUGCUGUCACUUAUAGAUGGAUCCGCGCUGCAUUAGCUAGUUGGUAAGGUAACGGCUUACCAAGGCAACGAUGCAUAGCCGACCUGAGAGGGUGAUCGGCCACACUGGAACUGAGACACGGUCCAGACUCCUACGGGAGGCAGCAGUAGGGAAUCUUCCGCAAUGGGCGAAAGCCUGACGGAGCAACGCCGCGUGAGUGAUGAAGGUCUUCGGAUCGUAAAACUCUGUUAUUAGGGAAGAACAUAUGUGUAAGUAACUGUGCACAUCUUGACGGUACCUAAUCAGAAAGCCACGGCUAACUACGUGCCAGCAGCCGCGGUAAUACGUAGGUGGCAAGCGUUAUCCGGAAUUAUUGGGCGUAAAGCGCGCGUAGGCGGUUUUUUAAGUCUGAUGUGAAAGCCCACGGCUCAACCGUGGAGGGUCAUUGGAAACUGGAAAACUUGAGUGCAGAAGAGGAAAGUGGAAUUCCAUGUGUAGCGGUGAAAUGCGCAGAGAUAUGGAGGAACACCAGUGGCGAAGGCGACUUUCUGGUCUGUAACUGACGCUGAUGUGCGAAAGCGUGGGGAUCAAACAGGAUUAGAUACCCUGGUAGUCCACGCCGUAAACGAUGAGUGCUAAGUGUUAGGGGGUUUCCGCCCCUUAGUGCUGCAGCUAACGCAUUAAGCACUCCGCCUGGGGAGUACGACCGCAAGGUUGAAACUCAAAGGAAUUGACGGGGACCCGCACAAGCGGUGGAGCAUGUGGUUUAAUUCGAAGCAACGCGAAGAACCUUACCAAAUCUUGACAUCCUUUGACAACUCUAGAGAUAGAGCCUUCCCCUUCGAGGGACAAAGUGACAGGUGGUGCAUGGUUGUCGUCAGCUCGUGUCGUGAGAUGUUGGGUUAAGUCCCGCAACGAGCGCAACCCUUAAGCUUAGUUGCCAUCAUUAAGUUGGGCACUCUAAGUUGACUGCCGGUGACAAACCGGAGGAAGGUGGGGAUGACGUCAAAUCAUCAUGCCCCUUAUGAUUUGGGCUACACACGUGCUACAAUGGACAAUACAAAGGGCAGCGAAACCGCGAGGUCAAGCAAAUCCCAUAAAGUUGUUCUCAGUUCGGAUUGUAGUCUGCAACUCGACUACAUGAAGCUGGAAUCGCUAGUAAUCGUAGAUCAGCAUGCUACGGUGAAUACGUUCCCGGGUCUUGUACACACCGCCCGUCACACCACGAGAGUUUGUAACACCCGAAGCCGGUGGAGUAACCUUUUAGGAGCUAGCCGUCGAAGGUGGGACAAAUGAUUGGGGUGAAGUCGUAACAAGGUAGCCGUAUCGGAAGGUGCGGCUGGAUCACCU
rnacentral:rRNA from 1 species